AGACAUCUAUAGAGCAGAUUGAAAUUUAUUCAUCAAAAUAAACUCAUUUGAUAUAACAGAAUAUCAACAUGGACGUAUCAAUAAUAAAAAGUCAAAAUAACGGGCAUAAAUUUUGAUAACAACAAUCAUAUUCGCCAUUGUUUCAAUAUGAAUGUUUGAAUUUCUAAUAAAAGAUUAAUUUAUUUUUUUUGUACUGUUUAUUUUAUCAGUGAUUGUUCAUUACAGUAUUCAUUUGUAAAUUUUAUUGGUCAUUUGUAUACAAUAAGAUCAAAGUAAGCAGCAUGUGCCGACUCUAGAAUUAAUUAAAUAUCUGAUAUAGAAAGUAUUUAUAUCAUUUAAUUUAAUACUUAAUUAUGAAGAAACGAAAUAUAAAUAUACAUAUAUAUAUAUAGAGAGAGAGAAAGAGACAAUCGCUGACAAUAAUUUAAUUAACAAUUAUUUAUACACUAACUGGAGAUUUUUCUAUGUUUACUUGACUAAUGAUGGAGCUAGUGGAAUUACAUAGGAAUACAAAUGAAAAUUACACAGUAAGAAUAAAAAUAACAGAAAUAUGUACAUGAGAGGACUAUAAAUUUAGUGCUCACUGAAAAACACCUUUUAUGCAAAGUUCUUUUGUAAGCUGGAUGAGCUUAAAAAGUUAAUGGAACAAUGCAAUGCCCUGAAGCAGGGAAAGGAGCAAGAUUUUAGUGAUUAUUAAAAGUAUAAAAUUAAAAAAGGAUUAUUUAAUUAAACUCCAAAAUCACUAUCAGACGGAAGGACUAUAGUUUUGAGAUCAGUGAAAUGUGUUGAUGUGAUGACAAUAAGUCUAAUCAUGAAUAGUAAUUUCUUCGUGAAUUGUAAUUUUUAAUGAAUAAAAGACUAUUAUUUAAAGAUCCCUACUUAUAUAUGUAAAGGUCAAUGAAAAAAAGGAAGCGCUGUUGGUAUGGAAAGUUGAAUAAAACUAAGUAGACAGAUAGAAAGUCGAAUUCAAGUAAUUCUUUUUUGUCGUCAACUGUUGAUUAAGCUUAAACAUUUUUUUGGGUCAAUGAUUAUUCUUCCGGUACAGAGUUGGUCGUUGUCUGUAAUGAAAUGAAAAAUCUACUUAUAACAAUCAUAAAGUCAAAGUACUCCAAGAGAAGAUUUUUAUCAAUAAAUCAAGAAGAUCCGAUAUACGUCAACGUGAAAAAAAAAAAGAAUGAAUUGAAUUACAAUUUUUACUGUCAACAUUAGAAAAAUAUCGAAACAGAGUCAGUCAGUCUUCUUUAUCGCUUUUCUUUGAAGUACAAGCAGAUGAGCACGAUCUCAUAUAGAAGCAAUAAAUAUUUGUGAAUCUUCAGUCUUGAAGCGAUUUAAAGUCGUGACUCUUGUAAUUCUGUGAGGUUCAAUUCAGAUCAAAGUACUCUGCAAUCGACUCUGAAUGUAAUAAUAAAUCUCUUUUAGACACAUAUUUAACACUUUUUAUUUGUUUAAAGAGAUUUUUAUUUUUUUUCAAUGAUUCUCAUUGGCUUUCUUUCGUGCUAAUACAAUUAUUAAUUCAUUCUCGGUGCGUAGAAGUAAAAGAAUUAACUCCAGACGCGAGCCACGAUUAUGCGUUUAUGUAGCACCUUGAAAGUCAAACGCGGUAUGUAAUAUAAUAUCAUGUACUUGUGAAAGCCACUACCACCUUGGACAUGCCUGCACGACUUGAAUCGGCUUGAAUCGCGCAUACCCAACGGCCAAUGCUUUUGAUAUAAUCAAGUGCCAUUCGAUUGCCGUGUGAACGUAUUAAACUCUCUGUAACCUUCCUCAUCAAUUGAGAACUUGUAUAAACCUUCGAUCGAUAAGUUGUAUAAGAUAAUAGGUCUUCGAUAUGGAUAUGUAAAAUUCCAGAUUAGGUAAACCAUGCCGGUCUCAGGGUAAAUAACUUCUUUAUCUAAAUAGGAAUGUUUCACUUCUUUUCAAAGGCUGUGAUAUAGCUUAUGAUGUGAUAACUAUAUUUCAACUAAUAUUCAAUUUAUGAGAAGAAUUCCUUGACGAGAAUAUGAACAAUUAUGAUCAAUUUAAAACUAAUAUAAAUUAUUUUAUAUUUCUUUUUUCAGCCACAAGAGUUUAUAAGAUUUCUUAUCAAUUAUUGUAUUCAU
rnacentral:lncRNA from 1 species